rnacentral:rRNA from 1 species
UACGUAGGGGGCUAGCGUUGUCCGGAAUCAUUGGGCGUAAAGCGCGUGUAGGCGGUCCGGUAAGUCCGCUGUGAAAGUCGAGGGCUCAACCCUCGAAUGCCGGUGGAUACUGUCGGGCUAGAGUGCGGAAGAGGCGAGUGGAAUUCCUGGUGUAGCGGUGAAAUGCGCAGAUAUCAGGAGGAACACCUAUUGCGAAGGCAGCUCGCUGGGACGUAACUGACGCUGAGACGCGAAAGCGUGGGGGGAGCAAACAGG